rnacentral:rRNA from 1 species
UACGUAGGGGGCGAGCGUUGUCCGGAAUCAUUGGGCGUAAAGAGCGUGUAGGCGGCUUGGCAAGUCUGACGUGAAAGCCCGCGGCUCAACCGCGGAUUGUCGUUGGAAACUGCCUCGCUAGAGUCCGGAAGAGGAGAGCGGAAUUCCUGGUGUAGCGGUGAAAUGCGUAGAUAUUGGGAGGAACACCAGUGGCGAAGGCGGCUCACUGGACCGGAACUGACGCUGAGGCGCGAAAGCGUGGGGAGCAAACGGG